rnacentral:rRNA from 2 species
CGCGGCCUAUCAGCUUGUUGGUGGGGUGAUGGCCUACCAAGGCGACGACGGGUAGCCGGCCUGAGAGGGUGACCGGCCACACUGGGACUGAGAUACGGCCCAGACUCCUACGGGAGGCAGCAGUGGGGAAUAUUGCACAAUGGGCGCAAGCCUGAUGCAGCGACGCCGCGUGGGGGAUGACGGCCUUCGGGUUGUAAACCUCUUUCAGUAGGGACGAAGCGCAAGUGACGGUACCUACAGAAGAAGGACCGGCCAACUACGUGCCAGCAGCCGCGGUAAUACGUAGGGUCCGAGCGUUGUCCGGAAUUACUGGGCGUAAAGAGCUCGUAGGUGGUUUGUCGCGUUGUUCGUGAAAACCGGGGGCUUAACCCUCGGCGUGCGGGCGAUACGGGCAGACUGGAGUACUGCAGGGGAGACUGGAAUUCCUGGUGUAGCGGUGGAAUGCGCAGAUAUCAGGAGGAACACCGGUGGCGAAGGCGGGUCUCUGGGCAGUAACUGACGCUGAGGAGCGAAAGCGUGGGGAGCGAACAGGAUUAGAUACCCUGGUAGUCCACGCCGUAAACGGUGGGUACUAGGUGUGGGUUUCCUUCCUUGGGAUCCGUGCCGUAGCUAACGCAUUAAGUACCCCGCCUGGGGAGUACGG